rnacentral:misc_RNA from 1 species
AAAAGACGAGAUAUCCCUGAGGACAAAAGUGACUUUAGAUCCCAACUAAAACCGUGUGAUCGUGGCGUGAGGGUCCCGCACAUGCCCUUUGCCUCGGGCCCCGCGGGGGCUAAGAACGGGCCUGGGUAUGUCUAAGGAGUGGGGCCAGGCAACUGGUAGCUGACAGUGUUUUCUUUUGAAUGCAGUCUAUAUCUUUCAGUUCAUCUUGUCAUACUUUGUGAAAAUGCUGCCUAAAUACUUAAACUACGAUGUUUGUUUGCGGGCAUGUCAUUAAUGUUGAUCUCCAAAGGGCCUGAUGUUUUACUGACUGUCAUGAGUUCAAUCUUGUCCAUGCUGGUUCCCAUGUCAUACAACUUGUACGCUAUAUUUACAUUGGUUAUAUCUCCUACAGUUUUACCAGUCCCCUGCUGGGAAAACUCGAUCCCACCUUUGCCCUCAUGUAACUAAUUGCUCCAAUCAACUUAAACAUCAUCAAACACUCUACACUGUGCUUAUUUCAAACAACUUGCAUUAUCAAAGCAAAAGACAGGUUCCUCGAUGAGAUCAUACCUGUCCGGAGAAGACAUUUCAAUGCCUGACGAUGAAUUGCGCGAGUAAUCAUUUCCCUUGGAUGUAUAGCACGCGCACAGGCAUUCUUCUGUCAUUCCUUUUUAAGUCACUCUCCGAGUCACCGAGCAGACAAGCAAGAGAACACGAGAGAUAAUCAAGUAAUGUUUAUUUUUCUCUUAACGUAAUUACAGAAAGAACCGUAUGUUUCUGUAAGGCCCGUCGACCGUGUAUAAGCACUUUAAUACAGCGGCACGCGUCGAUCAGUAUCGACAAUUGAUCUGAUACAUAAAUUCUGAAGCUUAAAUAUUACUGUAAGAAUAAAUAAAAUGUGUAAUUGAUAAUACUUGUGAUUACUGUGACGGAACAUGAGGAUGAGUUUAUGAGAAUUUAAGAAAAUUAAAUUUUUAAUAAGUUAUGUAUAUGUACUAAAUUACGAUCAAUUGUUUAGAUAAAAACAGCUUUAUUACAUCGAAAUGUACUCUAUGCGCUUACUAUUGUUUUGAAUGCUGAUUAAAAAUUAUUUGGCUAAGUACUUUUGAAUCAGCGGUUUAUCAUGUUUGAAAAAAAGAUUCAGUAUACAUGUACAUUUACUUGAGUUCUUGCCCACCCCGCAAAGGUUUUGCUGUCCUUCGCAACGCUUUCCGUACCGAACGUCACUCGUUAGUUUCCGCUCAUCUACGGAAAGAAAUCCAAACUAAAUUAUUUUGAUCAUGAAUACACUAAUCCAUUUAUUGAGCCAUAAAAAUUCUAAACUUUCUUCGUUCGAGUGUAUAUUGGUUAGUAUAAAAUUUAUCUUACAAAGGUUACUUAUCAUACUGAUUUUUAAAGCGAGACUUCUGCGGGGCCGCUAGUUCAAUAUGGCGAUUCCAUGACGACGGGGCCUCGACAAGGGUCUUUUGUUCCGGCGUAAAUGGGGUCUGCGAUAACCGCCCGACCUCCCGAUAGAGCGUUGUGUGUGUUUUCACAAUGAAAUGGGGAGAGGCAUGUUGCAUGCGGAUCAGGACCUUACAUUUGCUAAAGAGAUCAGUGAGUCAAGUAAACGGACUGCACUUGGGAAAUCGGUGCACUUGGAUACGAAGCGCGUCACCAGUCUCCGUCCUAACACUAAGAGCAAUAAACUGACCCUAGAGCCGAUCACUGCCGCGGUCUCAACAAAUAGCAAAAUUAUUGACGAGAAAAGCCAUCCAAGUUCGUCCCUGAAAGAUGUCUUCGAACUAGAAAGGCCAGCGUCUCGCCGGAUUCUUCCAAGUCUGACACUAGACAAUGGACACGAUGAUGCGUUGAUGGACGACGUGUCAGGAAAUGGUACCAAACAUUUAGCAGUUACAAGCAAGGAUGAGUCGAAUUUCAAGAAGAAUAAUAGUAAAGUAGAAAGAAAAAAAAACCCGAAAGCAUUCACUAGCGCAAUGAGUAAACAUACAUACAUGCCUCCACGUACUGUUCAUCUUGAUGAAAACGUGUUCACAUUCCGCCCGAAAGUCAGCUCAGCAAGUAACAAAAUAGCCGAAAGCCUGGGGACAGACUUCAUGUCACGGCAACAAAUGCACAUUGAAAAACAGAGGAAACUUUUAGAACAGUCAUCUCAGUAUACACGGUUUUCUCUGUCACUUCCCCAAUCACAGAGGCAACAAGAAGCAAAAGAGUCAGAGAACAAAAACAGCAGUGCCCAGAAAAGGAACUUUGAUGCUGAUAAUGGUGAGAAGAAGGAUCAUUUAAGUGCUAGGAAAGAAAGAAGUAAUAAAGAGGCAGCAGAUCAAGAAGACAUUGCGCUGCCUUCUCAGCCACUGUUAAUGGAUGCAGCUUCCUUGAACACACCAUCAACAGAAUCACAGCCUCUGCAUGGUGUUAGUGCAGGAGAUGAGGCAGUGACAAAAAAGAAGAAGCAGACAGCAUGGUUUCCUGGCUCUGAGUCGCUUCCAAAACGAAAGCUUACUCCUGAAUGUGCAACUGAUAAAGAAAAUGAACUAUCCAGAUCCCUCACACGCAGUAAAACCAUACCUAUGCUUAACCAGCCAAGAUUGAAAAGUCAUCCACUGAGCGAUGGGGAACGGCUUCGUGCAGCCAAAGAAAUGGUUGAUAAAGCUAUAAAGUGUCAUAAAGUGUUUACCAUUCAAGGAGGAUACUCUAGCAUUCGUCACAGCCUUCGAGAACGAGGAUGGGUUGAGAAGUUCUACAAGAUUCCUUCAUUAUCUCAGAAGACUUCCAAACCCACACACCAAACCAGUUCUGAUGAUGAUGAUGACGACGACGACAAUGAGAAUGAUGGCAAUGAUGAUGGUGAUGAUGAUACUGAUGAUGAUGAUGACGAUGAUGAUGAUGACAAUGACCAGCCCCAAAUACCACCGUGGGAAGAAGAAGAUGGUUUCUAUGGGAUCAUGAACAGAGCAGAUUUAAUUCGUAUGUCUCGAAUGCUCAAGAACGUCAGUCCAUCAUUAUUUUGGGUGCUCAAACGUGAUGCCAUUGACCACCGCUAUUUGAACAAAGACCAGUUGGUCAAUCACUACAGCAAGGCUGGUUCUUUCACAACAAAGGUUGGGCUGUGCACAAACAUAAGGAAUGUGCCGUGGUUUGAACCAGUGGAUCCCGACCAGUUUUUCCUUCGCUGCUAUCGUCUUAGUCAUGAUGAAGAAAAACAAUCAUUUAUCGAUGACUUCCGUCAUACUGCGUGCAUGAACAUCCUUAAAAUCGUGAACAAGGAAACAAAGAAUGGAUACUUAAAUGAAGUGGAGAGAGAGGAUAAGAACGAAGAUGGUACCACAUCGGGAGCCAACACCUCAGCUAACAAAGAUCCAUGCAGUAAGGAAUCAGUUUGUCAGAACACAGAGCAUGCUUGUUCGCAAGCAACCUCUAGUGCUGACAAUAGUUAUGCAUGUGUACAGAACAGUGAUGCAACUUUAGAGGACACCACACCAGUUGAUGGCAAUGGGGAACAAAAGACAGCCAACACUGAGAGUACCACCCAGUUCUCUGACCCAGCAGUACUUGGCACUUCAAGGUUAUUCAGACAAAAUAGAAACCGAAUAAAGAAAAGAAACCCUGUCCCAUCCAGAAUUUUGGAGCUGGCCAUCCAGGAGUGUGAGAGAUUCUUAGGAGAGCGAGAGCAUGAAGACAUUGACAGACCUGUUCAGGAUGAGUUGUCAGAGUCCCAGUGGGAGGACUUUAUAAAGUGGUAUUAUGUGAUGGCUCAUGAAGAUGGAAUGAUUCCAGCGAUAUCCCAGAGGACGCUGACAUGUGUCGAAAGUCUUAUCAACCGGCUCCGGACAAAAUGCCCACAGUUUGAAAUGGAUGGCACACACAAUGUUUGGAUUGUUAAACCAGGGGCAAAGUCCCGUGGGAGAGGUAUCUUUUGCUAUAACCGCUUAGAGGAGAUGCUCAAACUGGUCAAUUCGCAGGUAGUGAAGAAAGAUGGGAAGUAUGUUGUCCAGAAGUACAUGGAACGUCCUUUGUUGAUCUACAACACUAAGUUUGACAUCCGGCAGUGGUUCUUGGUGACUGACUGGAGUCCAUUGACAGUUUGGUUUUACCAAGAAUCCUACCUGCGGUUCUGCUCACGGCAGUUCACUCUGGAAAACUUUGACCAGUCCAUCCACCUCUCCAACAAUGCCAUCCAAAAGUAUUGCCGUAAUGGUCCCCGCUCCAAGUUGUUGCCUGAUGAAAACAUGUGGACACAUGAGCAAUUCAAGGACUACUUAAGCAAAAAGAAAAUGCCACAUGCCUGGGAUGAAAUCAUAUACCCAGGGAUGAAACAGGCCAUCAUCUGCUCUCUUCUCUGUGCUCAGGACUUGGUGGAGUGCCGCAAGUCCUCAUUUGAGCUAUAUGGAGCAGACUUCAUGCUGACAGAAGAUUUUCAGCCAUGGCUUAUCGAGAUCAACUCUAGCCCUUCCAUGGAAGCAUCAACUUCAGUCACAGCUAAAUUGUGCCAUAAGGUCCUGGAUGACACCAUCAAGGUGGUUAUCGACCGUCGGUCUGACAAAAACUGCGAUGUUGGUAGCUUUGAGCUUGCCUAUAAGCAGCCCUUGGUGACUGUUCCCCCGUACAUUGGCAUGUCAAUGUGUGUGGAGGGUCAAGGAAUACGGAAGCAGGGGGGUGUUACAAUUCGUAAAAAUAUAGAAAACUAUCCAACAGAACCUUUGUUUACCUCGAAGAGCUUCCGUCCACUCAACAUAGAGAAAGGAGAAGAAUGUUUGACCAAAAAAGGUUCAUCUACGCCACUUGGAUGUAGUUCUACUGGGAAUAGAAUUGGAACAGCCACAAGGAAAGACACAUCUGACAAUCCAGGUCCCACACACCAUCUAGCUAGAUCUGUAGCCUUUGAGAAUGCUAGCAAGAACAGAUCAGACAACGUGAACUGGCCAGUUCGUGGUGAAGGAAAAUCUUUCAAAACAGGACGAACUUACAACUCUGACAAUCCAAAUCCCACACACCAUCUAGCUAGAUCUGUAGUCUUUGAGAAUGCUAGCAAGAACAGAUCAGACAUCGUGAACUUGCCGGUUCGGGGUGAUGGAAAAUCUUUCAAAACAGGACGAACUUACAACUCUGGUGACAUUGGUCAAUCUGAUCACAUGGAGACUGCCAGGAUGUCCCCUGAAAAAAGAACACUAAGCGCUGAGAUAACGUCUGUGUCCAAACCUGCCUGCGUAUCCAGCCCGCUGUUUAAUGAUUUGGGCAACAAGCGUUUUGUGUCACGGACAUCUGUGUCCUCCAACUAUCCCACCCCUGGAUCUCAAAAUACCACCAGCACAGUGCGGUCAUCAUUGGCUGUAAACAAUGUGGAGAACACAGUCCUGAGGAUGUUCAAACCUAGCAAAGGUCGUGUGAGUAUAAACUGCACUUGGUCACGCACAUGCACCGAGUGUGGUAGUGGCAUGAACCUGAGGCUAGAGAAUAGAAAUCCACACUGCCGUUGCCAGAAGGAUUCUGUCAUCACAUCUAAGAAAGAAGAAUAUGGCAUCCCUGCUAUCAGAAGUCUGCCACCACGGCCAAUAUUUAUACAAACUCGCAGCCGAGUCAAUGCUUUCAGCAGUUCAUCUUCUCAACAUCUCAUACGAUCUCCUUCCCAUGCAGUGUGUCCUGCUGCAAGUCAUCCUGCUUUAGGUACAUCACCCAAGAGCAUGGAGACCAGUAAAUCUAUAAGCUUCAAGGAAAAACUACUUGCAAAAUACCUACAUGGAGGAUCUGCUUCUUUACCAUUAAUGUUGCCUGUACACGUAGGUUCUGUAGCUUUUCGUGACCUUCCAAAGUUUGUGCAGGACUGCAUCAGUCCUAAGUCCCUGGAUAACAGAAGGAAGGGAUCUGUCUCAUCACGCUUGCCGACUGAUAGAGGAGGUCAACGCAGUGAAGUACCAGAAGUGAAACCAAUGAGAGGAUCAUUCAUAAUUAACCCCUGCUCAGUGGGCCACAUCCCUGUAUCCACAGAGACUCACGGACACUCAAGGUAGAAGACAAGCUACCAGUUCUUUUGGCUUCCUUCAUGGUGCCUAACUCCACCCUUAGCACCUCUUAUCUCACCAAAUUGUCAGAGGUUGGUUAGCAGGUCUAGGAUUACAAGUCAGACAGCAGAAAUUUAUAGCUCUUUUGCGUUCAUUAUAUGUCUUAUUUGUCCAUGAUCACCACAGUUCUGCUUACUUGUUGGUGACAGUUCUGGAGACAAUGAGCAAGGCUGUAUGGAACAAAAGAAGUGGGUUUCUCAGUCUCCAGGUCUUGAUUGCUGGCCUCUUUUUGCUGGUGAUGCUUCUGACAAUUAUUUGUAGGCUGGAUGCUGCCUUCUUCCACUGCACCUCUCAGUCUUCAAAUGUUACUUUCUUUAUUUGCUUUAUUUCCAUCCUGUUUGCCAUUGCAGCUUCAAAAAGUGUAUCUUUAUGAAACCUCCUGCAGUUGCAAGCAUAUUUUGAUGAGUAUUUGCUCAAUAUGAUCUACAUAUAAUCAGAUUGUUGAGCAGAAUAGAUCAUUGUCAGUUCUGGGAAGAACGUUUGAAAUGUCAACAAUAAAAAUAAUACUGAUGCAGAAGUAUCUAUUAUACUUCAUUCUUUCUAGCAUUUAUGUAGUAUGCUCAAUGGAUGUUUGAAGCUUUAGAUAGCAAGAUGUAUUAUGAUAUUUUGAAUAUUUAUACUCUGCUUUUACAUUUUAUUAUAGUCAUUCGGUCAAUUAAAGCCAUCAUACAAAGAAUAAAGAUGAUGUAUACUUUACUUACAAUGCCUUUGCAUGUGUCUUUUCUGCACUUGAGGGUGGUGAUCCUCAUUGUCAUGGUGCAUAGUGUUUCAAUGGUGGUUUCAGGUGGGUCAAUGUACUUAUUUUGAAAGUACUAUAGGUUAUGUGUAUGAAGAUGCUAACAAUGUUCCCAUGCUCAAUAAUGUAUAGUCAUUGUAGAUGUGGUUUUGUCUGUUUGUAAAAGGGGUGUUCAAAGUUAUGUUUAUGAAGAUGUUUAAAAUAUUAGAGAGUUUGCACACUGUCCUGCUAAAAAAUCAAGCUGACUGCAAAGGCAGUGAGAUUUUGACAGAUGUGUCAGCAUGUAUAUAAAAUUGAUUGUACUUUGAGUGAAAUGCACUUUGCAUGAAAAGUUCAUCAAGUGCAUUUUGUUACAGACUUCAACAAAAAAGAAAACAUAGGCACUGUAUAUUAUGAGUCAGGAAUAUUUGCAAUUCAGCGUCAUUAAGGCAGACAAAUUUGUCAGGUCUGGAGAAGCCAAACCAGGUAAUCCCUUACAGUGAAACCAAAGCUUUGCUCAAGCACCACUUCAGAUGCCAGUGGAUAAAUAAGCACGACCUGCUAUCAGACAGCCAGAUGCUAAAUCUGAAGCGCCACUAACAUCAUUGCUGCCUGCACACUGGACAUUGCCAGCUUUGUGCAGAUGUGUACCACCUGGGCUGUCAUACACUGAAAACUGCUUAUAUGAGGUGGGCUUACAGACCCCUCAGCAUGUCCUGCAGCACAGUGCACUACACAGAUGGACAGAGUUGUUACCACAGGAGCCAUAAAAGAUGAGCAUAGUUUGCUGUAUUCUGGAAAGAUGACCAUAGCUGUAUUCUAAAAGGAAAGAGGAGAGAUAUAGAACUUUCAAAACAUGUAAUAACUACGUUGAGGAAGAAGUUCUCUGAAAGACCCAAAGAAACCUUGUAUGACCAGUUCCAUUGAAUUUUUUAUUUCCACCAAGAGAAGGUUCGACAUUCAGUUAAGAAUAGCGUUUAUAUGUGUAAUUGCAUUGCUGUAGACUGCUUGCAUAUGUUGCUGAUGUUUAUCUCUGAUGACAUUGUCUCGGCUAGAUUUUUGAGGCACCAUAUGGCUGUGAUUACUGUGAACUCUGCCUCUGUUUAUAUUGCUUGUGUGAUCAUGCUGUCUUCUUUCACCAACAUAUUUGUCAAAUGCAUACAACACAGCUCUUUUUCUUUUAGCAGCUGCCAAUUUUGUCAGCUAAUUUGCUUUCCAACACUAUUGUGAUUACUGUCAACUGCUUUUGGUUAAUAUGAGCCCAGCUGUCUUUAAUACACUUUGUUUGCAGCAUAACUGUAUGCAGUACUAUAUUCCACCAUCUAAGAAUGUGAGUAUUGCUUACUUUGUCAGCAAUACACUUUUAGACCAGUGCCAACUGCCUUCAGUGCACAAAUUGGGGAAAACUGCUAGCUUUUAUCUCCAGUAUGCCAGUAACAAAUGCUAACCAAAUCACAGUUUUGUUACCUCUGCUUAUUUUGUCUUGUUCCAUUGGCUGUGACCACUUUUGUGUCCCCAGUGAAAUGUAUCACCUUUUUCUCACAGGCCAUGUCAUGUAUGCUCACAAUACGGUCUUCCUUUUCUGCUUCUGUUACUUGCUGUUGUGUGUGUAAGAGAGAGAAAGAGAAAGAUGUGCAUGUAUGAUGAUGCUAGAAACGAUACAGCUGUUGAGAUUUGGCAACUUGUUCUCACUCAUUGUGUUGUGCCCAGUAGCAGCAUGGCAUUGUUUUUUUCUAUAACUUUCAUUUAUGCUGCUGUCAUUGGUGAACUGAUUAUUUGAACUGGUGGUGACACUGGAAAGUGCAGAAUUAAACAGAAUAGCAGAUGAGGUUUUUCUCAUGUUUGUCGUAGAGUUGAUCAUUGACAUUUUAGAGGUGUUUACAUGUUGAAGUGUUGAAGUUUUUUUUUUUCCUUUCAAGGUGAGUCCAUAUGGAUUUAACCAAUUUUCUUAUUAGUAAUGCAAUAUUAAUUUCACAUAAGUGAUUCUUCAUUUUUUGUAUUUGUUUGAAAGUAUUUCAAAGAAUCUGUACAAGAGAAUGACCUCACAAAUGUACUGUACUUUUUGUAUCCAUAAUACAUAAUCUGUAGUUAUUUGGUUUUUUUUUCUGUGUACUUACAGAUGCAACUUAUUUUGCUAAAAGAAUAUAAUAUUGUUUUUAAGAAUUGCUGUGAUAUGUAUUUUAUGAUCAGGUAUUGGAGGAAAAGUUCAUUACGGUACCUUCAUCUCAGUAUAAGAUUAAUAUUGCAAUUAUUAUUAUGUGCAACAUUUGUUCCACUGUGGCAAUGUGGAUCAACAACAAGCAAGAAGCUCCACUCCAACUACUGGGGUAAUCCCGGUAAUGUAUUACAGAGACUGCAUGUAUCACUUCACCUACCUUGGCAGCAGAAUCAGCAAAGAUAGGGGUAGAGAUGAAGAUGUAAGAAACUGCAGACUUGCAUUCCACACUCUGAGACCCAUCUGGAACUCCAAGGAUUUAUCUCUGCACAACAUGAUUCACAUCUUCAAUACCAACAUAAAGCCAGUCCUUCUGUACAGAUCCGUGACAUGGCAUGUGACAAACACCAUCACCAGCAGGAUUCAGAUUAUUCAUCAAAAGAGGUCUGCCACAUCCUUAGCAUCAGAUGGCCUGAGAAGAUCUCCAAUGCAGACUUGUGGGAGAGAACUAGCCAAACACCUGCCAGCCAAGACAUCAAGAAGCGUAACUGGGGAUGGAUUGGUUACACCCUGUGAAAGCCAUCGGACAAUUUAACAAAUUCUGGGUUGAGAGACGCAGAUAAACAAGUAGGAGAUGUCCAACUGAAGGACACCCAGAACUGGAUUUGCUGAAUAGUCUGGUUGUGGCCAUGCUCCACUGGGGGCAAACAGCAGGGCUAAGAAGAAGCACAAUACUAAAGCACUUGUCCACAAGACAGUGAGGAAAUAGGGAUUAUAUGUUAUAAAUUAAUCUUGCACAAAUAAUUUCUCACUGAAUGUGACAUCUCUUUCAGGUCAGGACUUUUUUUGCUACAGAAAUUUUGUAUGCAGACUCAGCCUUAAAUACCAGCAACCAAAACAUUUAUUUAUUAAUCUGCACCAUGAAACCAAAUGCUGAUCAGUACUGCUCUUUAUCUUCUAUUACAAAGUUGCACCCAGUGCCAUGACUCAUUUGCAUACUACUCUAAAUGUCUUCCAGCAUAGUGAAGUCCCCUACUCUGUCCCAGGAAACCAUGUCUUCCACUCCAGUACCAUAGAAAAGACUGCUUCCUUUUAACACAGUAUCUUUCCUAUUCCAUUACUGAAAACUGCUCAUCCCUAAAUUGUAUCAACACAUUGCCCAGCAUUUUACAAGUUUUCAUUGCUUACUCCCAAACCACACUUAUCUAUUAUACUAUAUUCCACACCAGUAUAAAUCACUUAUUUAUGUACAUCGCUGUAUAGUUCCAUGCACAUUUUGAAUCAUCCAAUUAUACCACCAAUCCCCACAGCUUUGUUCUGUGCCACUUAAAGUUUCCCAGUUUAUAAAGGCAUUUUCUCUGAGGUAUCAUUUGCUUGUUGCAAAUAGUUUUUAUCACAGCACAUAGUAAAUAUAGCAACCUGAAAAUCUUAUUGUUAUAAGUACUGGGCAUAGAGCGAGUAAUUAUAAGCUUUUAAAUGUCUUAGACUAUUUCUUCUCACAGUUGGCAUCUACAUUUAAGUUAUAUAUAUUUUUAAAUUGUUUUUUAGCACUGCAUGUAUUGUAAGAAUUUAACAUGUGGUUUCCGACUGUGGUUAUUUAAAAAUAGUUAAAGAAAAUGACCUUAUAAAUGGUAUUUCAGUUGUAUGAGUGAGUUGCAUUUAUUUUAAUUCUGUUUUAACAACAAACUGAAUGACCAAGAAAUACUUGACUUCAUGUGGUUUUAUUACUUUUAUAUAAUUAUUAUAUUAAUUUAUAAUUUAUAUAAUGCACGUUUAUGUUCAAAUUGGAGUAUUAUUUCAACUAUUGCUUUAAUUUCUAUGUGCUUUUUUAAAACAAGAACAGAUUCUUAAAAAUAAGAUGGUACCAUAUGGCUGUUGGAGUUGUGCAUAUCCGUCAAAUGUAGGUCUUCAGUUCUAUUUGUUGCAUAUCAAGUCUGCUACCAGAACAGUCAAAGUGAUGCGAAAGCUCAAUUGAUAAUGCUUGACUGUAGUUCUCUGCAUGCAUUAAAAUGUACUAAAAUGUCGAUUGAAUUAUUUGAUGGUGUUAUUUUUAUUUUCACUUAGCCUCAUUGAGAUUAGCUGUUAAUCCUACAUCUGAUCAUGGUUUGCUGACAUAAAUGCACUCAUGAGUAUAGUAAAUAUUCAUAUUUUCUGGUUGAGCCAUAUUCAGUUGCAAUGAACAAAAAUGUCACUUUAUUUAAUUUGUGUCAUUUUAACAUGGUUCAGUAAAAUGUAUGCAAAUGAUGAAUUUAGUUGCUUUGGAAAAGUAUAUGAGUGAUAAAGACAUGCACAAAUUGCUUCAGCUAUAUUAGUACAUGUCUGCUUGUUUUCAGAAAACACCAAUUAAGGAAUGUUUUAGAUAACAUUUCAGGUUUUAGUAUUUCACAUUUACAUGGAAAUUGUUAUAUUUUGUUAAAAAUAUUGUAUCAUAUGUAGUCAUUAAUUUACACCAUUGGCUGUUUUUUUUAUCUAGACAAGUGUCUAAAUUUCACUUUUGAUAGUAGAAUCCGGGGCCAUAGUUAUGAACCAGAUGUACCUAUGUACUCGAGGUUUGCCUUACCUCAGCUCAAUACUAGCAGGCCUGUUAAGAAAUCUGUAGCCAUACUUGUGGACCAUCCAAAAGACAGGGACCUCAGGAUUAUCGGCCACCCUAAGCUGCUGUUGUUUCCAAUAAAUUCAGACAUUUCUGCUUUAUAGCUAAGCCCAAAGUAACCUUGUACCUGUUUCAUAACUAGGGCCUCUGGAGUAUUUUAGGGGCAAGAUGGAGAGAGUGAACAUUGAAUACUAAUUUUAUUCAGUCCUCUGCCCCUAAAUACAAUAUUAUAUCAUGGCGCUUUUUUUAAUAUUUUAGAUUUUCCAAGAAUAAAUAAUGGUUUAAAGCAUAUGUGUUCUGAAAUUUAGUUUGUAAUGUGAAGAACUGUUAUGACUUCUCUUUUAGCUUUCAGCAAAGGAUAUAAAAGCACUUAUUUUGCUCAUGAUGUCCUGUUGGAAUAUAUAUGAUGCAUGAUUUGGUUUUUGGCGAUGGCAUUUCAGAGAGACGCAUCCUUCUUGAAAUGUUCAGAAAAGUUCAAUUCUUUAAUUCUUGUAAUGAUGAUCUUCAUUCUUUUUAAAUAACUGUUUUACUUUUUUCCCCAUUAUGAGGUAAGCACAUCUAAACAUACGCAUAGCAAAGAAGGUAUGCUCAUGCACACAAACCGUUCAUCUGCCAUUUUGUGCUGUUCAUUGCUGCUCUCUACAUUAGACAUCAUUAGAUCCACCAACAGCAUAGUACAAACACCAUCAGAUUCAUAAGUAGCAUAGUAGCUUAGUAUAGACACCCUCAGAUGUAUCAAAAGUACACUCCAAUCAUGUUCUCCUUGGUUCCUUCAGAUCAUCAUAUCUGAUUCAUACAGCAUAAGCCACGUGAAUAUUCUCUGUAAAUAAAAGUUUACUAUCAAAGUAUCAUUAUCAGAAGAACUACAUGUUGUUACUUUUACAUCCAACAUCCCAUAAAUUUGAUUGCAGAGACAAAUUAGAAAAUGAUAAGAUGGCAUUUAUUUCUGAAGAAUAUGCAUCAUUCUCUGUGCUAGAAAAAAGUAUGACAUUCUAAACCAGGCAAAUCACAAGCUACAUCAAGUCUUCUUAGUUUAACUCCUUUUUUAGUCUUUUCUUGUAAGGAUGUUUACUGUGUACAGUAGUUAUGUUCUUGGGGGUGUUUAUUGUGCAUAUUAUAGUUAUCUCCAUUCUUUGAAGCAUAUAAAAUAAAAGAAGUACAAAUCAA